GGGUCGGAAGCUUAAGUGGAUGAGCAUUUCCCUUUUAAGGAAGCGGCAGUGAGUUCGAAUCUCACGCGACCCACCA
rnacentral:tRNA from 1 species